rnacentral:piRNA from 1 species
UAGAGUGUGGGCUGUAACUCUUGACU